GGAGGCCCCUGCUCUCGGGCACCCGCAGGAACUUACUCCAGCUCCAGACACACCGUAAACACUUUCAUCUAACGGAAGAUAAGCUGUGAAAUCGGAUUUCUGAACCACAAGACACUUGUGUAAAAACUGCAUUCCAUGCCAGGCCUGAAAUGUUCCAAAGCUCAGUUUGGUGAGUAAAUUGCAACCAAGAUUUCUACACACACCAAAAAAACAAAACAAAACAAAACAAAACAACAACAACAA